rnacentral:rRNA from 1 species
GACGAACGCUGGCGGCGUGCUUAACACAUGCAAGUCGAACGGAAAGGCCCUGCUUUUGUGGGGUGCUCGAGUGGCGAACGGGUGAGUAACACGUGAGUAACCUGCCCUUGACUUUGGGAUAACUUCAGGAAACUGGGGCUAAUACCGGAUAGGAGCUCCUGCUGCAUGGUGGGGGUUGGAAAGUUUCGGCGGUUGGGGAUGGACUCGCGGCUUAUCAGCUUGUUGGUGGGGUAGUGGCUUACCAAGGCUUUGACGGGUAGCCGGCCUGAGAGGGUGACCGGCCACAUUGGGACUGAGAUACGGCCCAGACUCCUACGGGAGGCAGCAGUGGGGAAUAUUGCACAAUGGGCGGAAGCCUGAUGCAGCAACGCCGCGUGCGGGAUGACGGCCUUCGGGUUGUAAACCGCUUUCGCCUGUGACGAAGCGUGAGUGACGGUAAUGGGUAAAGAAGCACCGGCUAACUACGUGCCAGCAGCCGCGGUGAUACGUAGGGUGCGAGCGUUGUCCGGAUUUAUUGGGCGUAAAGGGCUCGUAGGUGGUUGAUCGCGUCGGAAGUGUAAUCUUGGGGCUUAACCCUGAGCGUGCUUUCGAUACGGGUUGACUUGAGGAAGGUAGGGGAGAAUGGAAUUCCUGGUGGAGCGGUGGAAUGCGCAGAUAUCAGGAGGAACACCAGUGGCGAAGGUGGUUCUCUGGGCCUUUCCUGACGCUGAGGAGCGAAAGCGUGGGGAGCGAACAGGCUUAGAUACCCUGGUAGUCCACGCUGUAAACGGUGGGUACUAGGUGUGGGGUCCAUUCCACGGGUUCCGUGCCGUAGCUAACGCUUUAAGUACCCCGCCUGGGGAGUACGGCCGCAAGGCUAAAACUCAAAGGAAUUGACGGGGCCCCGCACAAGCGGCGGAGCAUGCGGAUUAAUUCGAUGCAACGCGUAGAACCUUACCUGGGUUUGACAUGGAUCGGGAGUGCCCAGAGAUGGGUGUGCCUCUUUUGGGGUCGGUUCACAGGUGGUGCAUGGCUGUCGUCAGCUCGUGUCGUGAGAUGUUGGGUUAAGUCCCGCAACGAGCGCAACCCUUGUUCACUGUUGCCAGCACGUUAUGGUGGGGACUCAGUGGAGACCGCCGGGGUCAACUCGGAGGAAGGUGGGGAUGACGUCAAGUCAUCAUGCCCCUUAUGUCCAGGGCUUCACGCAUGCUACAAUGGCUGGUACAGAGAGUGGCGAGCCUGUGAGGGUGAGCGAAUCUCGGAAAGCCGGUCUCAGUUCGGAUUGGGGUCUGCAACUCGACCUCAUGAAGUCGGAGUCGCUAGUAAUCGCAGAUCAGCAACGCUGCGGUGAAUACGUUCCCGGGGCU